UCUUGCCGGGCCCAGCCCUGUCCCUCUGUGCUCCUCUCCUGCUGCUCCACAGGGAUCUCCAGGGCUGCCCCGGGUGCUUCUCUUCCAGGUUCUGUUGAUGCUUCCAGCAUGGUUCUUGUGCCAGUCUCUCCUGAGGAGCUGAGAGCUGCAGAACAGUGAAGAUAAUGAUGCAAAGAGAGGGGGCAGCCACCCUCCAGCAGCCAGCUGGGUGCCAGCACCAAGGACCUUCCCCCGGGACCUUCCUCCAGGACCAGGGACAAGACCUUUCCUCAGAGCCUCCCCAGGACCUUCCUGACUGUCACUCUGCAGUUCUCCCAGGUGCUCCAGCCACACGGACCUUGAGCUACAUGUCUCCCACAGCAGUCUCUGCUUCUGAAUCUGCUUCAGAGCCGCGGGUGCCACCAACAUUAAACCUUCCAACACGAGAGCUGAACCCUGCAGGACACCAGGACUCUGCCAACAGACCUGUCCAGGACCCUGAGUUUCCCACCCCUUGCCAAACCCAGAGCCAAGAGUGCAGGAAGCACUGGAGAGCAGCCCCUCACAGACAGCCUGGGGAAUAAAGAACAAGUUCCUCAGAGGCUGGGAAUGAACGGUCGGUAAUUAAGGGCUCCAGCAAACGGAGAGUUUGCUGAGUGCAGCCCCGGGGAGGCCAGCAGGGAUGGGUUGGGGUGAGCAGGCCCUGUCCCUGCCACGUGCAUCCCACUGUGGCAGGAGUGCAGGAGCCUUUGGGGUGCCGACAGCGGGGGAAGAAAUGCACGGGACAGGGAGCCUGCCCCUGGCUCCUGCCUCUGCAAAGUGUGCCAUGAUGGAGUUCCAGGCUCAGCACAGCCUGUUCAGCUAAAACUGAGUGUCCUCACAGGGAUCUUCACUGGCUGCUUCCCGACCUGUCUGUAGCAGACAUGGAGAGCAGCUUUUUCCUUCCUUCUUUGCGGCAGCUCCUCGUCCGUGGCAGAGGGGACAGCAGCCAGUCCUGGGGACUUUGACAUGGGACAGAGAUGGACGGGAUCCCCCAUUGCAGGGGCUGUGGCAAGAGGAACAGGCCCAGUGCCCCGCUAAUGCUGCCGGCCCUGCAAACAGCACCACUGGAGCUCCGGGCAUAUUCCAGUUAAAACCCCCGAAAUGACAGCAGUGACUGUUGUGGAAUGCACCGAGGACUUGGCUCGGGAGAUGCUAAAUCCAAAUCCGGAGCCGUGCCCAAGCCAGGGAAGCGGCUCGAGCGCUGCACGGGCGUCGCUUUGAUUUAGGACGCGUUCAGUGAGCGGCCGGAGCGCCGGGACGGC